rnacentral:rRNA from 1 species
CUGGAUUCGCUAGUAAUCGCGCAUCAGCCACGGCGCGGUGAAUACGUUCCCGGGCCUUGUACACACCGCCCGUCAAGCCAUGGAAGCCGGGAGUGCCUGAAGUGUGCAACCGCAAGGAGCGCCCUAAGGUAAAACCGGUGACUGGGCUAAGUCGUAACAAGGUAAC